UUUCUGUGAUGACUUGCCAUGCUAAUAUCGAGAGAACGUUUGGGUCUCGAUGAGUUGAACUUCAAAUAUACUGAAUGUUUCAUACAUGA